CUUGCUUAAAUCCACCGAGGGCCGUUACACACAGAAGAGCCUUCCGGACUGGAUGCAUUAAGUUGGCGCUUAUAUUCUGUGUGACGUUUUACACAGACUCUUCGGUUGUAGCUCUCAGUGCGGAUGGUGCAGCACAUUUGCUAGAGCCUGUUCUGAGGGAUCGUCCGUCUGUCUGCUGACCUGGAAGCUGCUUCAUCAUAAAUAUCUGCUGAGUGGUGAAAGAAACAAAAAGUGCACUAAUAUAACGUUAACGUUAGUCUAGAAGAACUGCCCGUGGCUUUGAUGUUCUGUAUCUGGUAAAUAGCCGCAGCUAACGUUAGCUAGCUAGCUAACGUUGGUAUAGCAAAGCUGUCCUGUUAGCCUGUCAGUAAGUUAAAAGCUGAUUAAAUUAACGUUAAUAGCUUAAACAAAAAGCUUGAUUUGCACAUUUUAUAUUUAGGCUGAAGGCCAGAAUUAUUUCUUUCUGUGUUAUUUAAUGGCGCUGUGAGUCUGACCUUGGGUGUUUGUAAGUUAACAUUAAAGUGAAUUUAUGUUCAUAGUCUUCUUGAUUUUUACUUUAACUGGCUUUUCUGUUCUCUUAUUUCCACAAGGCCGGAGCCUAGCCAUUUGGUGGGACCAAGACCAUGUUCAGGAUUCCAACCUGUAAAACUGACAAUCACAACUGCCGUCACCACCUCCACCCUCCUCACCUGUCUAACUUCACCACCAUUACUUCUCCAAUGCUGACAUCCCCACCCAGAACACCUACAGUGAGAAAUUGUUUCGUGAAGAUUCUUUUGUGUGUUGCAAUGUGUCCUGACAGGAUAACUGUGGCUUGGUUGAAAGCUCAGCCAAUUUUCUGGAGUUUUGAUUAGUUGUUACUUGUCAUUUAUUCUGAUGAUCUUUAUGGAGAAGGUUAUGUUUAGCAUGUGGGCAAAUUGGUUGAUGACCCAUUUUUUUUUCUAGUUGGAUGGAAAAAAAUCCCUAUCAGUAUUUUCUUAUCUUCAGCCUGGCUUUUCUAGUCUCUGUGUCUAGUUAUAGGGAAAUAUUUUCAGAGAACCAUUGAUUACCGACUGCCUACAACAGUGUUAGACUAACAGAUCUCUUUAUAUGUGUUAUUAUGACUUUAUUGUUCAACUUGUGCAAUAAACGAUCUGCUUUUUGUGCAGUUAAGUCUUCAAA